AACGAACGCUGGCGGCAUGCCUAACACAUGCAAGUCGAACGAGACCUUCGGGUCUAGUGGCGCACGGGUGCGUAACGCGUAGGAACCUGCCCUUAGGUUCGGAAUAACUCCCCGAAAGGGGUGCUAAUACCGGAUAAUGUCUUCGGACCAAAGGUUUAUCGCCUUUGGAUGGGCCCGCGUUGGAUUAGCUAGUUGGUAGGGUAAAAGCCUACCAAGGCGACGAUCCAUAGCUGGUCUGAGAGGAUGAUCAGCCACACUGGGACUGAGACACGGCCCAGACUCCUACGGGAGGCAGCAGUGGGGAAUAUUGGACAAUGGGCGAAAGCCUGAUCCAGCAAUGCCGCGUGAGUGAUGAAGGCCUUAGGGUUGUAAAGCUCUUUUACCCGGGAUGAUAAUGACAGUACCGGGAGAAUAAGCUCCGGCUAACUCCGUG
rnacentral:rRNA from 1 species